rnacentral:rRNA from 1 species
GGUUGACCUGCCGGACCUGACUGCUAUCGGUUUGGUACUAAGCCAUGCGAGUCGUUGUAGCAAUACAAGGCGGACUGCUCAGUAACACGUAGUUAACUUAACCUAUGGAUGGGAAUAACCUCGGGAAACUGAGAAUAAUACCCAAUAGACCACAGUGCCUGGAAUGGCCUGUGGUUGAAAUGAUUUAUCGCCGUAGGAUAGGACUGCGGCCUAUCAGCUUGUUGGUGAGGUAAUGGCCCACCAAGGCUAUAACAGGUACGGGCUCUGAGAGGAGGGGCCCGGAGAUGGGUACUGAGACACGGACCCAGGCCCUAUGGGGCGCAGCAGGCGAGAAACCUUUGCAAUGUGCGAAAGCACGACAAGGUUAAUCCGAGUGUCUCCUGCUAAAGGAGUCUUUUGUCAGUUGUAGAAUCACUGGUGAAUAAGGGGUGGGCAAGUUCUGGUGUCAGCCGCCGCGGUAAAACCAGCACCUCGAGUGGUCAGGAGGUUUAUUGGGCCUAAAGCAUCCGUAGCCGGUUGCAUAAGUUUUCGGUUAAAUCUAUGCGCUUAACGUAUAGGCCGCCGAAAAUACUGUGCAGCUAGGGAGUGGGAGAGGUACACGGUACUCGAUAGGAAGGGGUAAAAUCCUCUGAUCUAUUGAAGAACACCUGUUG